rnacentral:sRNA from 1 species
GUGGUUCUGCAGCAGCCGCUGCCGCCGCUGCAGCUGCAGCUGCAGGUGGUGGUGGAUGGGGUGGAAAUGGAGGAUCUGCAGCAGCAGCAGCCGCUGCUGCCGCCGCUUCUGCAGGAGGAGGUGGAGGUGGAGCAGCUUCAGCUGCCGCUGCCGCCGCUGCUGCUGCAAUGGCAGGAGCUGACGCAGAAGCUGUUGCAUCUGCUUAC